rnacentral:rRNA from 1 species
UACGUAGGGAGCAAGCGUUGUCCGGAAUCAUUGGGCGUAAAGAGCGCGUAGGUGGCUGCAUAAGUCCGUUGUGAAAGUCAAAGGCUCAACCUUUGAAAGCCGAUGGAUACUGCAGGGCUAGAGUCCGGAAGAGGCGAGUGGAAUUCCUGGUGUAGCGGUGGAAUGCGCAGAUAUCAGGAGGAACACCAAUAGCGAAGGCAGCUCGCUGGGACGGUACUGACGCUAAGGCGCGAAAGCGUGGGGAGCGAACAGG